rnacentral:rRNA from 1 species
UACGGAGGGUGCGAGCGUUGUCCGGAAUCACUGGGCGUAAAGGGCGCGUAGGUGGCGCGGGCAGUCAACGGUGAAAGUUCGGGGCUCAACCCUGAAUCGGCCGUCGAUACUCCCGGGCUCGAGCACUGUAGAGGCAGAUGGAAUUCCGGGUGUAGCGGUGGAAUGCGGAGAGAUCCGGAAGGACACCGGUGGCGAAGGCGGUCUGCUGGGCAGUUGCUGGACACUGAGGCGCGACAGCGUGGGGAG